rnacentral:rRNA from 1 species
CCUACGGGUGGCAGCAGUGAGGAAUAUUGGUCAAUGGACGGAAGUCUGAACCAGCCAUGCCGCGUGCAGGAAGACGGCUCUAUGAGUUGUAAACUGCUUUUGUACAAGGGUAAACCUGAAUACGUGUAUUCAGCUGAAAGUAUUGUACGAAUAAGGAUCGGCUAACUCCGUGCCAGCAGCCGCGGUAAUACGGAGGAUCCAAGCGUUAUCCGGAUUUAUUGGGUUUAAAGGGUGCGUAGGCGGAUUGAUAAGUUAGAGGUGAAAUGUCGGAGCUUAACCCGGGAACUGCCUCUAAUACUGUUGGUCUAGAGAUUAGAUGCGGUAGGCGGAAUGUAUGGUGUAGCGGUGAAAUGCUUAGAGAUCAUACAGAACACCGAUUGCGAAGGCAGCUUACCAAUCUAUAUCUGACGUUGAGGCACGAAAGCGUGGGGAGCAAACAGGAUUAGAUACCCCUGUAGUC